rnacentral:rRNA from 1 species
CCGAGGAGUCCUGGCCGUUCGCGAGUCGUAGGGGCCCCCUCUGACUAACCCCGAAGGCGUAGCGAAAGCGAGAGAGCGUGUCGGAGGGCGCCGACCGGGAGAGGUGUCGUGGCGAAGUCGUCGGGGGGAGGGAUGGCGUGCGGUUUCGGCCGUCUCUCCGUUCCCCCCCUCCGCCUCCGAGCCGUGCCCGAUCCCGCCGGCGCGGUGUCUCGCCUUCCGUCGCCGUUCGCCGCAGGUUCCGCACUUCUCCUCCUCGCGAGGCGAGGGAGGGCCUGCGGCUGGCGCGCGGUCGUAAAUUCUCGUUCCCUCCUCCCCUAGACGGGGACCGGACGUCAGGGAAUUGCGGGGCAUCAGCUUCCAUCCUCCUUCCGCCCAUCGGUGAGAUCCCGCGGCUUGAACUAGUCCUAUUUUGUCGUCGAGUUUAGGCACUGCGCGCGGGCGCAUCACCCCCGGGUCGGUUCCCUUCUCCGAGUACGACUCGGCCGACUCUGGCGUAGCGAGCGACCAGGGACCCGAAAGAUGGCGAUCCACGCCCGGUCGGGAUGAAGCCAGAGGAAACUCUGGUGGAAGUCCGAAGCGCCUCUGACGUGCAAAUCGAUCGUCGGAACCGGGUGUAGGGGCGAAAGACCAAUCGAGCCGUCUA